CGAAAGGUGCUAUGGAGGAGACAGCGGAGACUCUGCUCUCCUCGUUUGGAUUAAUUCUGAUAUAUUAACUGUUGGUUCAUUUAUCGGUGCAGCAGCAGAACAUUUUCCACAGACAGUUUUCCUGACGGUUAGCUUGUUUUAACCAGUUUUCUGCCUUCGGCUGAUUGUACCAGCAGACACUGAAAGGACUCUGAUAGUUCGAGUGAAAGUAGCAGUUCCUCCUUAAGGUCAGAGAUUGCAGCAUCUGAGGGCCUCUUCAAAAGAAGAUGUAGUUGAUGAAGGCGUUCUGGAGCAGGACCAGAAAGACCACGACCAAGCAGCCUUGAGAUCUUAGGCAGCGUCUCCCUCAGACCAAAGAACUACAGACUCUUCACAACCUGCUCAAACUCUUGGUACAGGACCUCACCACACGGAUCAAGAAGGUUUCCGUCUCAUUUCUACUCUGAAGCUCACCUUCUCCUGCUCAAACUGCUGACAAAUGUUUCUGCUGCUCUAAAGUCUGGUCUCCAGAACUUCCUAAAAACUCUCAAAGUCUCUUCUGCUGCAGGUUGCUUUGUAGAACUGUUCCAGAAAACCUCACUAAACCACAUGGAGGGGCCUCAAGAUAGUCAUCCAAAUGAAACCAUACAAAAACCAAACUAGUACAACCCAAACGCUAAAGUCUCCUGCAGCCUACCAGAGAACAUCUGAGAACAGAGAAUCAGGACAGGAACUCUUACCUUCUGGACAACCAUCGUGGGUUCACAAACCAGAAUACAAAAUGUGUCUGACCAGAAACCUCUAAAGACUCACUACAGCCAAGAUAAAGACACAACUCAGCUGUACCAAAUCCACUAAUCACUGCACACAAGACAACUAUCCAGUACAAAGCCCUAAAACACACCAAGAAACACAUUAAAGACGAUUUUACUGCUGGAAGCUGCAAACCAAUGCCUAAAGAACAAACUAAAGCAAUGGAGACAAACCCAGUUCAGUGGUGAAAGAAGCAGAGGAAAUGUUUGGCUGCAGCCACAUAAAGCAGGAAGACACUGAGCUGCUCAGGUGUUCCUGAUAACACCAAGCUGCCACCUGGACAGCCAAUAGGAACACAGCUUACUGGAAGUCCAGAGGGCUGGGUUAGUCAAGGAAAUUUAGUUUAAAGUUGAAGCAGAAAGUUAACAAAGAAAGUUGAAAACCACCUUCUGAUACCUGAAAUCUCUGAGUUUUUACACAAAGAACACCUGAACAUGUCAAACUGG